AUGGCGUUCUCCUUCUCCUCGCCGGCGCAGCAGAACCCUUUCCAGACGCCAACGCAGCAGAAUCCGUUCCAAACCCCAGCGCCGCAGAACCCGUUUCAGACUCCGUCGCCGGCGCAGACUCAGGCGCCGGCGCAGUCGCCUUCGCCGUUCCAGUUUAACUUCCAGCAACCCCAGCAGCAGCAGCAACUGGCCGCACCGACGGCGCAGCCUCAGCAGCAGCAGCAGCAGCUGAUGCUGUACACAAAGGAGGGGAAGCCCGCAGGGUACAACACGAAGUGGGAUGAGCUCCACGCCGACUCGCAGAAGGCGCUGCUUCAGAUCGAGGAUAAAAUACGGGAGUACAAGGACGAGAGUGAAAGGUUGGAUCAGUGCAGUCGCCUUCAUGACUCCUCAAUCUCGAAUGUCAAUUUUGAGCUCGAUGCAAGUCACAUUGCUCAGGAACUCGCAGGGACUGCAACCAUAAUUGAGAGAGAGAAGGCAUCUGUUCAGGAGUUGAUGACUGUUGUCAAUGAAAUGAUGUGGAACACAGAAUUUGCUAUUCGCUCAUAUAUGAUGUUGAGACCAAGGUUCCUCAAAUCAGCCACAGGUUCUUCAAAUCCUUCUGGACCUGCUGGAGCUCUGCCCAAUCAGCCUGGACCAACCAAUGAUUUCUAUAGUGGCGUCCCAAAGAGGCCUUCCCUUUUUAUGCUGCAAACUGUCAACAAGUUUGAGAAGUAUCUUGACGAAUGCUGCAAGUGGAUUACUGAACUAGAGCAGCUGGUUCAAAUCGAGAGCAAUAAAAGAUCAUCAUCUUCUGUGGAAUCUCUACCAAAAGUUAUGUCGAAUGUGCAUGACUAUUUCAUCUAUGUCGCUUCAAAGGUGGAAAAUCUUCAUCAAUAUGUUGUGUCGAUGAAAACUGAAUAUCUACACGGUCAGCGCCGUCUGGGCAAUGCAAAUGAUCCAUUUCUAGAGGCAAAUAGAAGAGAAGCAGCCAAAGAAGAAGCAGCUGCCAAAAGGGUCCAUCCGACAUUGCAUUUGCCUGCUCCUGUACAGCCCACAACACAAAUUGCUGCACCAGCAACAAGCCAACCACAGCAAUCUUUGCUCCCUUCUGGAGGAACUUCCUCGAGUGCCUUCACAGCUUUUAGCAUGCCGGCCUCUGCUCCAUCCACUUCAAGUCUCUUUUCAACACCAACAACUUCAAGUCUCACAACUAACCUUUUCGGUACAACUGGAUCAGCCUCGCUGUCCACACCAUUUGGGACAUCCUCCACUCCUACUCUUGGAUCAACACCAACUCCGUCUGGAUUUGGGGGUAUCACCCCAUCUUUUCCUUCAACGCCUGCUUUAACUGGAACUUCACUAUUCUCUACGCCAUUUGGAGGUGGGGCUACAGCUUCAGGGUCCAGCUUUGGUGGCACAUCUAAAGGGAGGUCAAAGGCGCGAGGCCGGCGCUAG
rnacentral:rRNA from 1 species